UUCCGGUCUUCAUACUUCUCAUCUUGGCGAACCCUAUCGAGGUAGCCAUUCACUAUACCCUUAAUACCGAUCAUAGACUUCUUCCACACCGCACUCUACAUCCAUUCCCAGCAUCAAACUCCCUCAUUCCCGCUAUGAAGUUCUCACUGGACUACGAAUAUCGACCAUGCCAUACAAGCUAUCACUUCAGUAAAUAGUAAGGCUUGGUUGAG